GUGUCAGCCGCCGCGGUAAUACAGAGGGUGCGAGCGUUGUCCGGAAUCACUGGGCGUAAAGGGCGCGUAGGUGGCCUGAUAAGUAGGGGGUGAAAUCUCGAGGCUCAACUUCGAGGCUGCCUCCUAAACUGUCAGGCUUGAGCAGAGUAGAGGCAGGUGGAAUUCCCGGUGUAGCGGUGGAAUGCGUAGAGAUCGGGAAGAACAUCGGUGGCGAAGGCGGCCUGCUGGGCUCUUGCUGACACUGAGGCGCGACAGCGUGGGGAGCAAACAGGAUUAGAUACCCUUGUAGUCC
rnacentral:rRNA from 1 species